AUUGAACGCUGGCGGCAGGCCUAACACAUGCAAGUCGAGCGAGCGGCGGACGGGUGAGUAAUGUAUGGGGACUGCCCGAUAGAGGGGGAUAACUACUGGGAAAGGUAGCUAAUACCGCAUACUAUCGGAUAACCCAUAUGGGAUUAGCUAGUAGGUGCGGUAAUGGCUCACCUAGGCGACGAUCCCUAGCUGGUCUGAGAGGAUGAUCAGCCACACUGGGACUGAGACACUGCCCUGACUCCUACGGAGGCAGGAGGGGGGAAGAUGGCACAAUGGGCGCAAGCCUGAUGCAGCCAUGCCGCGUGGAUGAAGAAGGCCUUAGGGUUGUAAAGUACUUUCAGUCUGGAGGCGUUACCGACAGAAGAAGCACCGGCUAACUCCGUGCCAGCCGCCGCGGUAAUAC
rnacentral:rRNA from 1 species